UUUCAAUAUGAACUUAUAUUUAGAGAUGAUCAUAGUCUUUUACAUUCUAAAACAUCAUAUAAUAUUUUUUGUUCCAAUCACCUUCACAAAAUUUAAAAAGAGAGGUGAUAAUAUCAAGAAUAAUAAAUAUGAAGAUAUUGAGCUUGAGUGGUGACUCUUCCCACCACAUGAUGUGAGAAUUUCUUAUUUUUAUUUUUGAAAAAAAUAGCUAUGAUGUGGGUGUUGAGUUGAAAGCACAUUACUUUUCUCGUUGGAAAUAAAUCUGAAAAUAAAUUUUUUAAAAGAAACUGUAAUUGUUGAACCCCAUAUUUCAUGGAGGACUUUGAAAUCUUUGACUUUGGAUUGCACUUUGAAAUCUUUAAUUUUCAUGGAGAACUGUAAUUGGUUUGCUAUUAUUAACCAUUGUAAGCUUGUCUUUCAAAUGUGUGACCAUCUUGAUACUUUGUAACUCCAUGAAGAUUUUGUGAAGAUUAUGUUUGUGGAGAUGCGAUGUCAGUAUGCCAUGUGGUGCAGUUUGUGGAGAUUAUGUUGUUUUAAGAAUUUUUGUAUUUUAUGGAGAGGCUAUAUCUUUGUGGAGAUGCUAUGUUUAAUUUUUGUACUUCUUGGAGAGGAUUUUUGGUAGCAUCAGCCGAGUGGUCCACAUGCAAAGGGUUUCUGGUAGCAUCAUCCAUGUGUACAUUGGUUAUCUGUGUCUUUGAUCAUGAGCUACAUGAGGAGAUCUAGUCUUGAACUUUGGUAAACAUUCCACCCAGCAUUCUAAAUGGCUUUGUGGUGCAAACUUCAAAAGGAGGAGUUUGACAAGAUUGGAAGCGAAGACAAGACCACAAUUUUCAUUUGCUAUAUAUUUAGUUCAUGUAUAACUUUAGUUUGGUAUGUGGUUGCUAAGUAUGCACUGAUCUCUGUCUAUAUUGAGAGAGACAAGACCACGAGUUUUAGUGUGUAGAUGAAAACUGUAAGUUUAUUUCACUUGUAUAUGAUGAGGGAAUUUGGCAAGAUUGCAAAAGGAUCUAGGUGUGUUUCAUUCAUGAGAUUGAUGUACACAGUAGUGAUGAGCAUGUACUUUAGUUAUUUACGAGGGCUCUUAAAAUAGCUUUCAAUAGAGAUCAAACCAUGUGUACAAGUUGUUUUCAUUACUGAACUUUUCAUUACACAAGUUAAUUUAAUGAAUCUACAUA